rnacentral:rRNA from 1 species
UACGGAGGGGGCUAGCGUUGUUCGGAAUUACUGGGCGUAAAGCGCGCGUAGGCGGACCUGCAAGUCGGGGGUGAAAGCCCGAGGCUCAACCUCGGAACUGCCUUCGAUACUGCGGGUCUCGAGUCCGGGAGAGGUGAGUGGAAUUCCUAGUGUAGAGGUGAAAUUCGUAGAUAUUAGGAAGAACACCAGUGGCGAAGGCGGCUAUCUGGACGGUUUCUGACACUGAUAAACGAAAGCCAGGGGAGCAAACGGG